rnacentral:pre_miRNA from 2 species
CAUCCUCGGACCGGCCUCAAUUCCGUAGUGCAUUGCAGUGUAGAACGGUUACGAGAACGACUGCAAGCAUUGUGGGAGUGAAGCCGUCCGCAGGAACCAACAA